AGCGAAUGCGUCGAUUUGUGACGCAGUACAGCAUUCCUCUUCGAAGCUUCGUUCGUCUUGCACGUGUCUGCAACAGUAUUAAAGUUUCGAAGCACUUUGAAACUUCUAUCGAUGGCUGUGAUUGGUCGUCCCAUGUUGGCGUCCUCUCAUUUCGACCAAUCAGACACGUCGUUGUGUGAGCGAGUGCGUCGAUUUGUGGCGCAGUGCAUCAGUCCUCUCUGAAGCUUCGUCCGUCUUUCACGUGUCUGCAACAGAUAUUUGAUGAAUAUUGAAAGGACGCCAUGACAUCUGAUAUAGGUUUAAAAUAGGAUUUCGUAAGAAUUUAUUGUUUUAAUUUAUUUUAAUCAAUUAUUAACAUUUAUUAUUACUUGUUUUUUAUUGAGUCGUUGUUAAUUAUAAGCAUUUUUGAUAAUUA